GGGGAAGAUUGAAACGCACCGUUUCGGUUUUUUUUUUUCUAAAAUAAAAAAAAUAUAUAAAAAAAUAAUAAUAAAAAAAAAAAACAUGGGACAAAAAGACAAACCAAAUAAAACACGGAAACCCCACCCACCCCUUUCUAUUUCUCUCACGUGCCUUUCACUCUCUACUCCCAUCUUCUAGAAUUCUCUCCACUCUCACUUUCAUUUUGUUCGUCUCUAUUCCAAUUCACCAUAAUUCUUUUUCUCUUCUCUCCACUCUUGAUGGUUAAUUACUCAUAUAAGCAAAGCUAUCUCCUAGUCUAAAAGUGUUCAUGGGUAAAGAUUUUGGAGUUAGGGUUAUUGCUCUAAGAAAGGAGAAGAAUAUCCAUCUCUUGAAAGUUGGUCAUUUAUAUUCUUUGAGAUUCGAUGAAAAUUGCUCCGGUGGUCAUUCCGGAAGGCAUUGCUAGGAACGGAGUUGAUUCGUCAUAGUUAUUCAAAGUCAACUGAAUAGAAAGCUUCUAUCAGAGUUAAAGAUUUGUCAAUGUCACUCUUUUGGUAGGCCUUCUUGAUGAACAACUAUUUUGUAUAUGUAUAUUUGGAGUUGAUCGAGUAUCUGCAGCUAUUUUGAGUCUAGGAAUAUCUUGUUUUUAAAUGUAUAAAUUUAAACAUGUAUAUUUUGAAAAUUUUGACUGAAUGAUGUAUAUGCUGCAAACAGGAUUUAUUCUGAUUUGGAAACAUUAAAAAUACAGAUGAGACUUUGUCGAAAUUUCAGUAAAAUUGUUCUAAAGUAAAUAGUCAUUUGGAAA